AUGCUAACUUUGGCAGCACAUAUACUAAAACUUGAACAAUACAGAAUUAGUAUGGCUUCUGCACAAAGAGAACAUGUGACUUCAUAAAGUAUUGCAUAUCUUU
ensembl:snRNA U6 U6 spliceosomal RNA